UUCUGAUUUGCUGUUUAUUACCG
rnacentral:siRNA from 1 species